rnacentral:rRNA from 1 species
UACAGAGGGUGCGAGCGUUAAUUGGAAUUACUGGGCGUAAAGCGCACGUAGGCGGCUUGGUAUGUCGGGUGUGAAAUCCCCGGGCUUAACCUGGGAAUGGCAUUUGGGACUGCAAGGCUUGAGUGUGGCAGAGGAGACUGGAAUUCCUGGUGUAGCAGUGAAAUGCGUAGAUAUCAGGAGGAACACCGAUGGCGAAGGCAGGUCUCUGGGCUGACACUGACGCUCAUGCACGAAAGCGUGGGGAGCAAACAGG